UUCGCAAUGCCCGAAAGGGUGACGAAGCGACGCCGCGUGGGUGAGGAAGGCCCUCGGGUUGUAAAGCCCUGUCAGGAGUUAAGAAAUGUAAGUGUGUUAAUACCACAUUUAUUUGACGAAGGCUCCAAAGGAAGCCACGGCUAACUCUGUGCCAGCAGCCGCGGUAAUACAGAGGUGGCAAGCGUUGUUCGGAAUUAUUGGGCGUAAAGAGCACGUAGGUGGGUUUGUAAGUCAGAUGUGAAAGCCUUCUGUUCAACGGAAGAAUUGCAUCUGAAACUGCGGAUCUUGAGUAUAGGAGGGGAGAAUGGAACUUCUGGUGGAGCGGUGAAAUGCGUAGAUAUCAGAAGGAACGCCGGCGGCGAAAGCGAUUCUCUGGCCUAUUACUGACACUCAGUGUGCGAAAGCUAGGGGAGCAAACGGGAUUAGAUACCCCGGUAGUCCUAGCCGUAAACGAUGGGCACUAAGUAGAGGGGUUUU
rnacentral:rRNA from 1 species